GAUGAACGCUGGCGGCGUGCCUAAUACAUGCAAGUCGAGCGAACGGACGAGAAGCUUGCUUCUCUGAUGUUAGCGGCGGACGGGUGAGUAACACGUGGAUAACCUACCUAUAAGACUGGGAUAACUUCGGGAAACCGGAGCUAAUACCGGAUAAUAUUUUGAACCGCAUGGUUCAAAAGUGAAAGACGGUCUUGCUGUCACUUAUAGAUGGAUCCGCGCUGCAUUAGCUAGUUGGUAAGGUAACGGCUUACCAAGGCAACGAUGCAUAGCCGACCUGAGAGGGUGAUCGGCCACACUGGAACUGAGACACGGUCCAGACUCCUACGGGAGGCAGCAGUAGGGAAUCUUCCGCAAGGGGGGAAAGCCUGACGGAGCAACGCCGCGGGAGUGAUGAAGGUCUUCGGACCGUAAAACUCUGUUAUUAGGGAAGAACAUAUGUGUAAGUAACUGUGCACAUCUUGACGGUACCUAAUCAGAAAGCCACGGCUAACUACGUG
rnacentral:rRNA from 1 species